UCGAGCGGAAACGAGUUAUCUGAACCUUCGGGGAACGAUAACGGCGUCGAGCGGCGGACGGGUGAGUAAUGCCUAGGAAAUUGCCCUGAUGUGGGGGAUAACCAUUGGAAACGAUGGCUAAUACCGCAUGAUGCCUACGGGCCAAAGAGGGGGACCUUCGGGCCUCUCGCGUCAGGAUAUGCCUAGGUGGGAUUAGCUAGUUGGUGAGGUAAGGGCUCACCAAGGCGACGAUCCCUAGCUGGUCUGAGAGGAUGAUCAGCCACACUGGAACUGAGACACGGUCCAGACUCAUACGGGAGGCAGCAGUGGGGAAUAUUGCACAAUGGGCGCAAGCCUGAUGCAGCCAUGCCGCGUGUGUGAAGAAGGCCUUCGGGUUGUAAAGCACUUUCAGUCGUGAGGAAGGUGGUGUAAUUAAUACCUGCAUUUUCUGACGUUACCGACAUAAUAAUCACCGGCUAACUCCGUGCCAGCAGCCGGGGUACUACGGACGGUGCCAUCGUUAUUCCGCAUUACUGCGCGUACAGCGCAUGCCGGUGGUGUGUUACGUCAGAUUUGACCCCCCGGGGCUCCCCUCCGGAUUGGCAUGUGAAACUGGCGGACUACAAGGACGGGUGAAGGGG
rnacentral:rRNA from 1 species